GAGGCAUAGAUGGGACCAGUGUUUGGAGGGCAUGCUGGUUCCUACAGUGCCAUAUGGAGAUCCCAGGGGUGGCUCCAGGGUAUAAAUGUAAGAACCAGGCAGCCAGCACAUACUCUUCUGAAGAAGUCCAGCUAAACUGCACAAGGAGAAACGCGUCGAGUGAGACGAGAACAUUUAAACUCAGUGCUCCAGAGUGUGAAUUAUUCUGGACCUGGUGUUAAUUCAGAUUUCACUGCAAAAAAACCCACUGUGACCAAGAUUUCCGGAAUAUUUUUGAUCUAAAAUGUGGACUGAAAGCCAUAACUAUUAGUUAAAACAGAUGGAAGAAUGUCAGGAGUCCAUGUUUUGGCUACAUUCCAAGCUGGUCAUUAUCUACUGACUACACUUCCUGGUUGACUAGAAACCCAUCACAUAAAAGCUCAUUUAUUUUAGUUCCCUGCUCUGUCUGGUGUGCAAAUAAUAGAGAACAUUUUUAUAGAUAAUAAUAUUGUUUCCAAAAGAGUUUAAGGAAGAGACGACAUAAGUAUCACUACACAUAUUAUCAACAAUCAUAGAUGUAUGAGAGAGAGAUAUAAGAGGGAUAUUGAGAGAAAUAUGAUCUAUCCAACCGAAAAGUAUGAGGAAUUAUAAAGUACCCAUCUAUGAUGCAACUCUCCGUUUAAAAUACAAUUCUCCAUUUGAAAUACUGAUGUAUCAUCACCCCGACGGGAAGUGCAACAACAGACAUAUAAACAGCGUCCUGUCAUAUGUUUUGGGGAUACAGAGGUUGUGAGGAUGAUGGACUAUGUGCGAUUACCAGCAUUGGAAACCCGUCCUGCCUGUGUAAA